AGGAUUCUUACUAUGUUUUGGACCUCCGCAUGCAGGACUGCUUCUCCUUAUAUGUUGAAGGUGUAUAACAUGUACCAUCAACCUGCAGGGGACCAUCUCAACACAGAGCCCAGGGCUACCGCUAAUUCAGCGCUAUGGUGUGACAUGCCAAGAUGCUGAUUAGACAGCAUGAUUAGGCUGGACUACUGCAACGCACUUCUUAUCGGGAUCCCCAGCAAAACAUCCAGAAGCUGCAAUACAUACAGAAUAGUGCUGCUAGGAUCCUGAUGAGAGUGCGGAAAUAUGACCAUAUCACGCCAACUCUCAAAUCCCUUCACUGGCUUCCUGUUCCACUCAGGAUUGAAUUCAAAGUCUACCUACUAACCCACCAGUGCUUUCAUGGAAAUGCCCCCCUCUACCUCAAAGAACUACUCACCCCCAAAUCCUCCAAACGACACCUCCGCUCCGGACAGGCUAACCUCCUCCAACCUCUGAGGACAAAGCUACGAACAAUGGGAGACCGGGCUUUCUGCUCUGCCGCUCCCAGUCUGUGGAACGCUCUCCCUGACCACCUGAGGGCCCCACAGACUGUGGAUGCUUUUAAAAAAGGCU